CUGGACUUCAGGGGUGUGCUCCCAAGUAGUUGGGAUUCGAAGGCCACCAUGUCCUCCCCACUGGCGGAAGCUGGUUUGAAAUCGUCAAGAAUGCAAACUAAGGAAGACGAGGGCCCAGCUGAGCUCAGUGCCACUGACUUAUGGCGACACAGCCAGGAGAAAGCUGUGAUUUCCAACAGCGUCUUCCGGCCCAGAGGCCAAGACGUGGAGCAGGUGGACAUGUCAACGCCCACAUGGUUCCUGAGACGCCCCGUCCCAGAGGCGCUGCUCCCUGCAGGGUUCAGUGGCCAGGCGUCACACAGGGGCACAAGGACAAGGAGGCCUGCAAGUGUUGAAGAGCUGGAGUCUGACUCUUAGCCAGAGAGAAGGGUAAAGGCAUGGGAGAACUGCGGACAGUGGAGACCUUGGAGUCAGGGGAGGGGAGGAUGGAAUCCUGGGGCUGGGGCCAGGGACAGGACUUCUGCAUUACCAACGUGAGAGGCUGAUGGGGCCCUGGGAACUGGUGGCCAAGGGAAGGAGAGAUGACGUCACUGCAACGUGUGAUUUCUUUUAAAUGCAAACUUGAAUGUGUCCUGUGCAGGGAUAGAACAUCUCAGUUGCACUUAGAGAAAGGAUUGAAAGUCUGUCACGUGGCCCAUGAGGCCUGUUCACACCUUCCAGCUUCCCCUCUGGAAGCCUCUCCCUCCCCUCUGCUCUUUGAAAGUUCCCUUUUUUUGGCCUGAAAUGCUACCUCCUCUCCAGCCUUCAAAAGCUUUCUCAAGUCAACCUCUACUCGACCUUCAGUGCGUAAGUGCUAGCUUCGUGGUGCUGCCCCGUGAAGAGCUUUCUACUUGGGUGUGUGGUACACAUCUGUAGUCCUGGUGCUCUGGGAAGGCGAGGCAGGAAUGCUGCAAAUAAAACCAGCAAGUUUGAGCCUGAUCUGGGACACUCAGCAAAUUUAGCAAGACCCUGUCACAGGUCAGGCGUGAUGGCGCAUGCCUAUAAUCCCAGCACUCGGGAGGCUGAGGCAGGAGGAUUGCCAUGAGUUUGAGGUCAGCCGAGGCUACAUAGAGAGACCUUGUCUCAAAAAACAAAACAAACCCAAACAAAACAAAAAACAAAAAAUAAAUCCUGUCACAAAAUUGAAAAAAAACUAAAUGACUGGUGUUGUAGCUUGCUGUGAAGACCCUAGAUUCAAUCCCCAGUACCACAGACGUGCGUGCACACACACACACACACACACACACUCUUUGGCUUUCAGGCUAGUUCCAUGAAAUUUUGCGUUAUAGCAAUUAUAAAUUAUCUUAUAGUUAUGUGAUUUUUUAAAAAAAACAAUUUUGCAUCUUCCUAUGAAUCUGUAAGCCCCAAUACUAGCAACUGUGCAUGUUUCAAUGAUUAUAUCCCCAGACUAGCAUCGUGAUUGGUAUUUAGAAGGUGCCUAAUAAAUACUGUAUCUGUUAAUUAAAUGGAUAAAUAAAUCACUCACUUGUUGUAUCA
rnacentral:lncRNA from 1 species